rnacentral:SRP_RNA from 1 species
GCCGGGCAUGGUGGCGCACACCUGUAAUCCCAGCUACUCAGGAGGCUGAGGCAGGAGAAUCGCUUGAACCCAGGAGGUGGAGGUUGCAGUGAGCUGAGAUUGAGCCACUGCACUCCAGCCUGGGUGACAGAGGGAGACUCUGUCUCAA